UACGUAGGGUGCAAGCGUUAAUCGGAAUUACUGGGCGUAAAGCGCGCGCAGGCGGUGAUGUAAGACAGAUGUGAAAUCCCCGGGCUCAACCUGGGAACUGCAUUUGUGACUGCAUCGCUGGAGUGCGGCAGAGGGGGAUGGAAUUCCGCGUGUAGCAGUGAAAUGCGUAGAUAUCUGGAGGAACACCGGUGGCGAAGGCGGCAUCCUGGACCGACACUGACGCUGAGGAGCGAAAGCCAGGGGAGCAAACGGG
rnacentral:rRNA from 1 species